rnacentral:rRNA from 1 species
UAGUCCACGCCGUAAACGAUGUCGGUGAUAUAAUGUCGGUGUCCAAGCGAAAGUGAUAAGUAAUCCACCUGGGGAGUACGGGCGCAAGGCUAAAACUCAAAGGAAUUGACGGGGGCCCGCACAAGCGGUGGAGUAUGUGGUUUAAUUCGAAGCAACGCGCAGAACCUUACCUACCCUUAACAUUUCACGCUCGCCUCAGAGAUGAGGUUUUCUCUUCGGAGACGUGAGGAUAGGUGCUGCAUGGCUGUCGUCAGCUCGUGUCGUAAGAUGUCUGGUUAAGUCCAAUAACGAGCGCAACCCUUAUCCUUAGUUACCAGCAUUGAGUUGGGGACUCUAGGGAGACUGCCGGUGUUAAACCGGAGGAAGGCGGGGAUGACGUCAAGUCCUCAUGGCCCUUACGGGUAGGGCUACACACGUACUACAAUGGCAGAAACAAACCGAAGCGAUAUUGCGAGAUGGAGCUAAACGGUAAAACACUGUCUCAGUCCGGAUUGAAGUCUGCAACUCGACUUCA